rnacentral:rRNA from 1 species
ACUCCUGCGGGAGGCAGCAGUGGGGAAUUUUGGACAAUGGGCGAAAGCCUGAUCCAGCAAUGCCGCGUGAGUGAAGAAGGCCUUCGGGUUGUAAAGCUCUUUUGUCAGGGAAGAAACGGUGAGAGCUAAUAUCUUUUGCUAAUGACGGUACCUGAAGAAUAAGCACCGGCUAACUACGUGCCAGCAGCCGCGGUAAUACGUAGGGUGCAAGCGUUAAUCGGAAUUACUGGGCGUAAAGCGUGCGCAGGCGGUUUUGUAAGUCUGAUGUGAAAUCCCCGGGCUCAACCUGGGAAUUGCAUUGGAGACUGCAAGGCUAGAAUCUGGCAGAGGGGGGUAGAAUUCCACGUGUAGCAGUGAAAUGCGUAGAUAUGUGGAGGAACACCGAUGGCGAAGGCAGCCCCCUGGGUCAAGAUUGACGCUCAUGCACGAAAGCGUGGGGAGCAAACAGGAUUAGAUACCCGUGUAGUCCCAUGA